UACGUAGGGGGCAAGCGUUGUCCGGAUUUAUUGGGCGUAAAGCGAGCGCAGGCGGAAAGAUAAGUCUGAUGUGAAAGCCCCCGGCUUAACCGAGGAAUUGCAUCGGAAACUGUGUUUCUUGAGUGCUGGAGAGGCAAUCGGAAUUCCGUGUGUAGCGGUGAAAUGCGUAGAUAUACGGAGGAACACCAGUGGCGAAGGCGGAUUGCUGGACAGUAACUGACGCUGAGGCUCGAAAGCGUGGGGAGCAAACAGG
rnacentral:rRNA from 1 species